rnacentral:rRNA from 1 species
CCUACGGGCGGCAGCAGUGGGGAAUAUUGGACAAUGGGGGGAACCCUGAUCCAGCCAUGCCGCGUGUGUGAAGAAGGCCCUCGGGUUGUAAAGCACUUUCAGGGAGGAAGAACGCCUGGUGGUUAAUACCCAUCAGGAAAGACAUCACUCACAGAAGAAGCACCGGCUAACUCCGUGCCAGCAGCCGCGGUAAUACGGAGGGUGCGAGCGUUAAUCGGAAUUACUGGGCGUAAAGCGCGCGUAGGUGGCUUGAUAAGCCGGUUGUGAAAGCCCCGGGCUCAACCUGGGAACGGCAUCCGGAACUGUCAAGCUAGAGUGCAGGAGAGGAAGGUAGAAUUCCCGGUGUAGCGGUGAAAUGCGUAGAGAUCGGGAGGAAUACCAGUGGCGAAGGCGGCCUUCUGGACUGACACUGACACUGAGGUGCGAAAGCGUGGGUAGCAAACAGGAUUAGAUACCCUUGUAGUC